AAACAAAUAUUGUUUUUCUUACAUUUACAUAACAGUUCAUCCUUUAAAACAUUUCCCAGCCGUUCCAUAUCGAUCCGCAGUGUUAAUUGUUAUAGUUAAUGCCGAGAAAAAAAUUAGCAACAUGAUUUUGCGGCGUUUUCCUAGCUUUAGAGUACGCGGAAUCGUAACAAAAUUUAAAAAAAACUCAUUGGCCAAUUUUCCAAACAUAUUCCAGUUAUUAAUUUUCUUUCUUAUUUAGAGUAGAGACAAGGAGAGCGUGAAAUAAUGUUGCCAGCUUUUGUGGAAUCUGUAUGAGAAAACAAUAUGUUUAGGGAAUUGCUGCUAUGCACAUAAUAUAUAUUAA